rnacentral:rRNA from 1 species
GACAGAGGGUGCAAACGUUGUUCGGAAUUACUGGGCGUAAAGCGCGUGUAGGCUGCUUCGCAAGUCGGAUGUGAAAGCCCUGGGCUCAACCCAGGAAGUGCAUUCGAAACUGCAGAGCUGGAGUCCUGGAGAGGAAGGCGGAAUUCCUGGUGUAGCGGUGAAAUGCGCAGAUAUCAGGAGGAACACCGAUGGCGAAGGCAGUGUUCUGGGCCAGUACUGGCGCUGAGGAGCGAAAGCGUGGGGGAGCAAACAGG